ensembl:lncRNA
CUCAGAACGAGGCUUUCAUUUUUUUUUUUCUUUAAAUCUGUGUCAGUUCACAAAUGCCAGUCUGUAAGGGGCAUCAAACUGAAAAAUACAGGUUGAAAUAAAGUGGCUGAAGCCCAGGAAAAAGAGGCUAUUUCAGCAGUCUGAAGGGCUGAGCAGAGAGGCUUCUUUUCCCUAUAAUAAGGGUCAGAUCCUUGAAGAGCUGGCUUCAUGCGGAUACGUGAAUGAUGAGGCUGGCAGAGUCCUGGGCGAGAGAGCAGGACCCCAGUAAGGCCCAAUUCUGCCCUGGGAGUGGUAGUCAGUGGAAACUCAGGGUUCCAAGCUUCUCUUCUCAAAUGACUUGGAGGUUCUGUUUAUAGGUCAUUCUACCUGAAGGAUCCAUGUAUCAAGAUAGCAGCCGGACAGCAUGGACCAGGUUUAUACCUGGGGACAGUAAAGAGCAUCAUAUCUUGGCAAAACCAAGCAAAACAGAUGUGGGUUCUAAUUCUUCCUCUACCACGUGGCCAAAUUGCUUCCAUUUACAUCAUCUAGAGACAGCAAGGAAGCGUGUGAUUCUCAUGCCUGGAUUUGUCAUGUUGGGGGACUUGGACAAGGCAAUUUCUUUCACAGAUAGCAGUUUCCCUAUUUGGGAAAUAAAGCAUCCACCCUUUAAUAUAACUAUAAACUCUUGAGAAUGACCUCCAGAAAGUUAUGGGCCAGAUGAUCCAAUCAUGGUAAGUAACCCCAAAUUUUGUAAUUCAAUCAAUGUCACGUUCCUUUUUUUUUUUUUUUUGGUCUUUUCCAGGGCCGCACCCAUGGCAUAUGGAGGUUUACAGGCUAGGAGUCUAAUCAGAGCUGUAGCUGCUGGCCUACGCCAGAGCCACAGCAAUGUGGGAUCCGAGCCGCAUCUGUGACCUACACCCCAACUCACAGCAGUGCCAGAUCCUCAACCCACUGAGCGAGGCCAGGGAUCAAACCCACAACCUCAUGGUUCCUAGUCAGAUUCGUUAACCACUGAGCACGACGGGAACUCCUCAAGUUCCUUCUUAAUAUAAAUGCUCUUUGGAUUUAUAUAACACUUGUUUUAAAACAAUGCUUGGGACUCUUUUUUUUUUUUUUUUUUCUUUUUAAGGCCUCAUCCAUGGCAUUUGGAAGUUCCCAGGCUAGGGAUCGAAUCAGAGCUGCAGCUGCCAGCCUACGCCACAGCCACAGCAAUUUGUGAUCUGAGCCUCGUCUGCCACAUACAUCACAGUUCACAGCAAUGCCAGGUCCUUAAUCUCCUGAGCGAGGCCAGGGAUGAACCUGCAUCCUCAUGGAUACUAGUCAGAUUUGUUUCUGCUGAGCCACAACGGGAACACCCCAGGGACUUUUGCACUUGGCCUCUCUCCUAGAAAGAGAGGUCUGUCCACAUCUUGGUUUACCAUUGACCACUCAUUUCUCUUUCCAGAGGGUAAUCGUUCCACAAAGUUCCUUUGGAGAACUGACUGCCAUUCUUAGCUAUGCAUUUUAUUUAUUUAUUUAUUUUAAAUUUAUUUUUAUUAGACUAUAGUUGAUUUACAGUGUUGUGCCAAUUUCUGCUGUACAGCAAAAGUGACCCAGUCAUACAUAUAUAUGUAUAUAUUAUUUUUGUCAUACUAAAAAAAUCCAUUAUGUUCUAUCCCAAGAGACUGUAUAUAGUUCCCUGUACUAUACAGUAGGACCUCAUUGCUAAUCCAUUCUAAAUGUAAUAGUUUGCAUCUACCAACCCAAACUCCCCAUCUAUCCCUCUUUGUCCCUCUACCCCCAACUCUGGCAACCACAAGUCUAUCUAUGUCUGUGAGUCUGUUUCUGUUUUGUAGAUAGGUUCAUUUGUGCCAUAUUUUAGAUUCCAUAUAUAAGUGAUAUUAUAUGGUAUUUGUCUUUCUUUUUCUGACUUAAUUCACUUAGUAUAAGAAUCUCUAGUUGCAUCCAUGUUGCUGCAAAUGCAUUAUUUUGUUCUUUUUAUGGCUGAGUAGUAUUUCAUUGUGUAUAUAUACCACAUCUUCUUAAUCCAUUCAGCUAUGCAUUUUAUUUAUUUAUUUAUUUUUAUCUUUUCAUCUUUUUUUCUAGGGCCACACUCAGGGCAUGUGGAGGUUCCCAGGCUAGGAGUCUAAUCGGAGCUGUUGCUGCCAGCCUAGGCCAGAGCCACAGCAACCCAGGAUCUGAGCUGCAUCUUCGACCUACACCACAGCUCACGGCAACGCCGGAUCCUUAACCCACUGAGCAAGGCCAGGGAUCGAACCUGUAACCUCAUGGUUCCUAGUCAGAUUUGUUAACCACUGUGCCAUGACGGGAACUCCUCAGCUACGCAUUUUAGGUAGGACUGACUCAUCUCUUAUUCCAGAGGUGGACUUUCCAGAGGUGGACUUUGAUAGGUGUGUGUUAAUCUAUGAAGCCUGUCUACCUAGCAACACAGUUGGUUUAGAAGUGGUCACGUGAUGCAGUUUAAGCCAAUGAGAAGCAAGGAGGCAUAUGCUGAGGUUCUGGGGAUGAAGGUAUCUCACAUUUUAAGGAAAGCUGAUGAGAGUGAAGUUCAUCCCAUCCCUGUUUAUAAAUAAAUAUGCAGACCUAAUGCUUCUGGCCA